rnacentral:rRNA from 1 species
AUACGGAGGAUCCGAGCGUUAUCCGGAUUUAUUGGGUUUAAAGGGUGCGCAGGCGGGAGAUUAAGUCGGCGGUGAAAUUUUGCAGCUCAACUGUAAAAGUGCCUUCGAAACUGGUUUCCUUGAGGGUAGAUGGAGUAGGCGGAAUUUGUGGUGUAGCGGUGAAAUGCAUAGAUAUCACGAGGAACUCCGAUUGCGCAGGCAGCUUACUAAACUACUACUGACGCUCAGGCACGAAGGCGUGGGGAUCAAACAGGAUUAGAUACCCUGGUAGUCCACGCAGUGAACGAUGAUUACUAGCUGUUUGCGAUACAAUGUAAGCGGCUGAGCGAAAGCGUUAAGUAAUCCACCUGGGGAGUACGUUCGCAAGAAUGAAACUCAAAGGAAUUGACGGGG